rnacentral:lncRNA from 1 species
UAGGUUUGAGUCAGAGGAAGAGAAUUUAGGAGUCAAAAGUCAAUCUAUCUAUCUGAUGGAUGGGAUGGAGAUGUAGAUAUAUCCAUAUCAUCGAAUGAAAUAUGUAAAAAUAAUUCAUUCGAGAAUCGAAGGAGUAUAUCAAAAUAUACUCCUCCAUGCCGGUUUAGGCUUGAGACAGAAAGGAGGGGUACCUAAGAUGUUAAAAUUUAAUCUAAACAUUCAAUG